CUAGUGAACAAGGUGCUCAGCGAUCACCUUCGGUUAGCCACAACUUAAUUUACAUAUUGGUUUGAAAACAUAGCCCAAUGAAUCUAAUAAGUCACCAGUUGUGCUUGCAGGACCACGAAAGAUGUCAGCUGGUGCUAAUUGAUUUAACAUUUACAGCCUGGCUAUAUUUGAAUGGAUUUCUAGUUGGUGACUCAUUCAUUUGAGUGGGUAAGUGCCUGACAAUGUUUCAAUGUAUUGUUUCGGUCUCCCUAGUCUAACUGCAUAUAAAAUAGCAGCGAAUGGAGCAGAAAACCAGUGUUUCUGGCCGCCCAAGUGAUCUUGCUAUGGAAAUUGUGUGUAGGAGUAGGAAGCAUCAGGAGCACAUAUAUUACUAGUUUGUCCGAUGGAAGUAAGAUAUAAGUGAGCAGUGGCGCCAAAUCACCAAGCCUCGCCAAUCCUAAGAACAGGACUGAAGGAUGGUCGGAGCAGUAUUAUACGGUGCGUUGCCUUCAUGUAUGUUUCAGCGAAGCAUCCAAGGAGCCAGGUGCGUGCACCAGUACAUAGGAGAUGCUCCUCAUCAUGCUAAAUUCUGAGCAGUGUACGGGAUGAAGCGCAGUAGCUCAAUGGCAUGAAGUCCUUGCUUCAAUCACGACUGUACUCACAGGAUGCACUUCAACCAACCCAUGUAAAUUAGUACAACUUUUCUGUCAGGUUUCAGAUCCAGAGGUUUCUGCAAUUGAGAAUUCAGAACUUGAUGUCGUGCCUAGCUUUGUACCAGCAGUUGAACUGAGAACCUUGAUCCAGUCCCGGAAUGACAAAGUGGCAAAUUGCACAUAAGGGCGAUGACAAUUAAUUUGCUACCUCAUUGUGGUCCUUCGUGAUGGCGAAUGGAUACACUCACUCAUGUCUAUCGAGACAUGCCAAUGACCAUCACCGUCUUCUUGGGCCAUUAGAGAGGAGCCAUGGACAUCAGCAUCAGGGUCGAGUGCAAGAAACGAACAUACUGAUCUUCGGGAUAAGCCUAAAAGGAUGCUACAACUAAGGACAUAGUUUACACAAGGCAUAUGUAUGAGGAGAUGGCAUGCACCUCUGUUUUGCUGGAUCCAAUUUGGUAGAAUGGUCAUGUACCUUCCUGUCUAAGCCUGAAACUGAACUGAAUACUACGAUUGAAAAUCAAAUCAAAUCCACUUCUUUGUCUGAAUUCGAGUGAUGGUUACACUCCAUGCAUUGUAGGUGUAUGCACAUACUCUAGCUGGACCG
rnacentral:lncRNA from 1 species